ensembl:lncRNA
CUGCUAACGGCGGCAUCAAACUGGGUUAAUCUCAUCCCGCUCUCUUUGCAGAGGAUUGAUGGCAGUUUAAUAGGGAGAUAAUGACUUCCCUAGAGAGAGGGAGAAAUAGAGAGAGAGAGAGAGAAAGAAUGAGUGUGAGAGGCAGGGAGAAGGAGUGCCUGGCAAAACAAUGGUGUGUGUGAGAAAAUGUCUUUGUGAAAGAGAAUGUGUGUAUGUAAGAGAAAAUGUCUUUGUGAAAGAGAAUGUGUGUAUGUAAGAGAAUUUGUGUGUGUGAGAUAGAGAGAGGCAGAAAUAGGGAUUUCCUGACAGAAUAACGUGUGUGAGUAAGAAAAGGCAUGAUAAAGUGCAGAGUUGUGUGGUAUAGUGUAGAGUUGUGUGAUAUAGUGUAGAGUUGUGUGGUAUAGUGUAGAGUUUUAUGUUAUAGUGUAGAGUAGUGGUAUAGAGUAGAGUUUUAUGGAAUAGUGUAGAGUUGUGUGAUAGUGUAGAGUUUUAUGGUAUAGUGUAGAGUUUUAUGGAUGAAGAUGAAAAAACAGAGGAACUGUGACAACAAGAAUUCAGAUAGAGGAGUGGAGGGAGAGAGAGUGACCCCCAUAGUGCACACAGGUGAGAGAGUGAUAGUGCACACAGGAGAGAGAGUGAUAGUGCACACAGGAGAGAGAGAGACCCCCAUAGUGCACACAGGAGAGAGAGUGAUAGUGCACACAGGAGAGAGAGUGACCCCAUAGUGCACACAGGAGAGAGAGUGACCCCAUAGUGCACACAGGAGAGAGAGUGAUAGUGCACACAGGAGAGAGAGUGAUAGUGCACACAGGAGAGAGAGUGAUAGUGCACACAGGAGAGAGAGUGACCCCAUAGUGCACACAGGAGAGAGAGUGAUAGUGCACACAGGAGAGAGAGUGAUAGUGCACACAGGAGAGAGAGUGACCCCCAUAGUGCACACAGGAGAGAGAGUGAUAGUGCACACAGGAGAGAGAGUGACCCCAUAGUGCACACAGGAGAGAGAGUGACCCCAUAGUGCACACAGGAGAGAGAGUGACCCCAUAGUGCACACAGGAGAGAGAGUGAUAGUGCACACAGGAGAGAGAGUGACCCCAUAGUGCACACAGGUGAGAGAGUGACCCCAUAGUGCACACAGGAGAGAGAGUUAUAGUGCACACAGGAGAGAGAGUGACCCCAUAGUGCACACAGGUGAGAGAGUGAUAGUGCACACAGGAGAGAGAGUGACCCCCAUAGUGCACACAGGUGAGAGAGUGACCCCAUAGUGCACACAGGUGAGCAAGAGAGAAGAGUCAGCACGAGCAGAAAGCUAACAGAGGAAAGACUGAACUGAGGGACGUACACACAAUGAGAAAGCAUCAAUCGUCUGUUUAAUCUUACAGUCUGACUACCAAC